rnacentral:rRNA from 1 species
AUUGAACGCUGGCGGCAUGCUUUACACAUGCAAGUCGAACGGUAACAGGCCUUCGGGUGCUGACGAGUGGCGAACGGGUGAGUAAUGCAUCGGAACGUACCCAGAGGUGGGGGAUAACGCAGCGAAAGCUGUGCUAAUACCGCAUGUGAUCUGAGGAUGAAAGCGGGGGACCGAGCAGCAAUGUUUGGCCUCGCGCCUUUGGAGCGGCCGAUGUCGGAUUAGCUAGUUGGUGGGGUAAAGGCCUACCAAGGCGACGAUCCGUAGCUGGUCUGAGAGGACGACCAGCCACACUGGGACUGAGACACGGCCCAGACUGCUACGGGAGGCAGCAGUGGGGAAUUUUGGACAAUGGGCGCAAGCCUGAUCCAGCAAUGCCGCGUGCGGGAAGAAGGCCUUCGGGUUGUAAACCGCUUUUGGCAGGAACGAAACGGUGUCCGCUAAUACCGGGCGCUAAUGACGGUACCUGCAGAAUAAGCACCGGCUAACUACGUG